AGUGAACGCUGGCGGUAGGCCUAACACAUGCAAGUCGAACGGCAGCACAGUAAGAGCUUGCUCUUACGGGUGGCGAGUGGCGACGGGUGAGGAAUACAUCGGAAUCUACUUUUUCGUGGGGGAUAACGUAGGGAAACUUACGCUAAUACCGCAUACGACCUACGGGUGAAAGCAGGGGAUCUUCGGACCUUGCGCGAUUGAAUGAGCCGAUGUCGGAUUAGCUAGUUGGCGGGGUAAAGGCCCACCAAGGCGACGAUCCGUAGCUGGUCUGAGAGGAUGAUCAGCCACACUGGAACUGAGACACGGUCCAGACUCCUACGGGAGGCAGCAGUGGGGAAUAUUGGACAAAGGGCGCAAGCCUGAUCCAGCCAUACCGCGUGGGUGAAGAAGGCCUUCGGGUUGUAAAGCCCUUUUGUUGGGAAAGAAAAGCAGCAGGUUAAUACCCCGCUGUUCUGACGGUACCCAAAGAAUAAGCACCGGCUAACUUCGUG
rnacentral:rRNA from 1 species